UACAGAGGGGUGCAAGCGUUUAAUCGGAAUUACUGGGGCGUAAAGCGUGCGUUAGACGGUUACAUAAGUCGGGUGUGAAAGCCCCGGGCUCAACCUGGGAAUUGCAUUCGAGACUGCGUAGCUAGGGUGCGGAAGAGGGAAGCGGAAUUUCCGGUGUAGCGGUGAAAUGGCGUAGAUAUCGGAAGGAACACCAGUGGGCGAAAGCGGACUUCCGUGGUCCAGCACCGACCGUU
rnacentral:rRNA from 1 species